AUCUAGUAUACUCUUAUACUCUAAAUGAAAGAAAAGUGAUUUGUUUUAAUUGUGAAGAAGCAGGCUCUAACUGUUCAAAGGCAGUGCAGCUUAUGGGUUCUCUGAACGCCGAUAGCUUUGGUCGCACAAAAUGGUGCUUAGAAAGCGGAGCUACAAGCCAAAUGUGGUGUGACGAAAAUUUGUUUACAGCCCUGGAGGAGCACACCGAAACGAUUGGAUUAGCUGGAUUCGGAUUUCUGAAGGCAGGGAGAAAUGCAGUGGUCAAGAUAAAGACGGAUCAUAACACCCGUGUAUAAACGACGUAAUGUUUGUUGUUUCGAUGAAGGAAAACAUAAUGUCUGUAAGUCAAACCCUUUCUAAAUACACUUUGGUGCACUUUAGCGAGAACCGCAAGGAUUAUUCAGAAGGCUGAGCGUGUUAAGUUAAGAAAACAAGAAAUCUAAAUACAUACAUUCGAUGGAAAGUCCAAUCAGUGUUUUGCGGCUUCCAGCGCCGAUGGCAUGUUAUGGCAUAUCCGAUAUGGUCUUAUCCACUAUCGCUGUCUGUCCGAUAUCGUGAAAAAGAACAUGGUUUGUGGAGUUUAAGGUUGUAUAUUACAAAAAAAUACAUCAUGUAAAACAUGUAUUUUGAGCAAAAUAUAUGAACAGCCUUUUCCACAUUCGAGCUAGUGAAAUAUUGGAACAUGUUUAUAUAGAUGUACAUGUACCCUUUAGUACAAAAUCACUGGGGGGCAAUCGAUAUUUUGUCACGUUUAUCGAUUACAAAUCUCGUAGCAUAUUUUUGCUGUUUAAAAGGCAAAGACGAGGCAUUCUCAAAGUUCGUGAAUUUUUCGCCAUAAAAACUGAUCACGGCAUUGACGAGUUUAUAAGCGCAGAAGACGGUGACUGCGACGAUGACGGCGCAGAGGAUGAGGACCACUCGCACAAUAGAAAAGAAGUGGGUCCUGGCAGACCUAAAAUUCGUCGGACGGGAAGCAAUGAAUCGAGAACAGAAUGAGCUAUAGGCUGCAAAUGGACAUUAACUGUGAAAAGAGCUGCCAACGGGCAAGUGAAGCGAUACAAGGCACGCCUAGUUGUUGAGGGCUGUUCACAGCAGUGUGUGAGACUUUUUCACCUGUUUGUCGGAUGGAAAGUUUCAUAAUUGCUUUGCUGCACAAUCAAAAUUAAAUUUGCACUAAAUGGAUGUCUGUACGGCUUAUUUAAAUAGAGGUUUUACAGACAUGUACAUAGUCAUGCAACAGCCACUUGAAUUUCGAGAUUAAAGAUCAUGCGGACAGCGUGUUUUUGCUAAAAAAGGCAAUUUACGGCCUUAAACAGUCUGGCAGAAAGUGGAAUUGUAAAUUGGAUGGAGUUUUGCGUAGUAUUGCGUUUUUUAGUACAAGCAAGCCAAGAAUAAAGGUGCGCUUAUUAUUAUGUGGACGAUCUGGUCAUAGCUUAUCAAGAUAAAAAUGAUCUCAUCAGCACGAGAGGCAAAGUCGCUCAAUCUUUCAAAUGUGUAGAUCAAAGACCGUUGCACAUGUUUCUUGUAUUGGAAGUUAGCAAUGAGCUUCUAACUGGUUAAGUGAAUGCUGACUGGGGAGGUGACAAACUUGAAAGUCAUACACAGGAUACAUAUUCUGGAGGUCCGAUUUCGUGGAAAUCUUAAAAACAACGCAGAGUACCUCUCAGCAGUCGCAUGCAAGGAGGCGCUUUUAUAAAGACGACUUAUAUUGGAAAUUGGCUACGGAAAAACUCGAGCAUCGACAGUACUAAAUAUUGACAAUUUAGGCGCUUAGCAGUUGGCAGUGAAUCCUGUAUUUUUCAAGGUCGAUACGUAUUGAUAUCAGGUAUCACUUUGUAAGUGUUAUCGUUAAGGAAGGGCAAAUUAUUGUUUGGUAUCUUUCAACUAAAACUUCAGAAACAGAAACAUUGUGAGCUUACUAAAAAGUUAAGUUUUUAUUAAAAUAUAAAUAUAACAUAAAAUAUAACAUAAAAAAAAGUAUCAAAUAAAGAUCAUUCCAUAUUUAUAUACUCAACCAAGGCGGACGUGUCAAGCGAGAAUAAACAUCAAUACAUGUGUAGGUUUUAAGAUCAAUCUACAUCAGAAGUCUCGCCAAAUGCUUCAAAAACAUCACCGGAGUAUUAAUUAUUCGCGAAAUUAUUGACCAAUUAUUUUUAAGACUUUUGUAAAUACAUAAGCCUAACGUGUAAUGUUAUAAAAUUGUUGUAACAUUUAUAUAAAA